rnacentral:rRNA from 1 species
AGAGUUUGAUCAUGGCUCAGGACGAACGCUGGCGGCGUGCUUAACACAUGCAAGUCGAGCGAGGCCCUCCUUCGGGGGGUGCCCUAGCGGCGAACGGGUGAGUAACACGUGGGCAACCUGCCCUCAGCUCUGGGAUAACUCCAAGAAAUUGGUGCUAAUACCGGAUGUGACCGCUGACCGCAUGGUCUGGUGGUGGAAAGAUUUAUCGGCUGAGGAUGGGCCCGCGGCCUAUCAGCUUGUUGGUGGGGUCACGGCCCACCAAGGCGACGACGGGUAGCCGGCCUGAGAGGGUGACCGGCCACACUGGGACUGAGACACGGCCCAGACUCCUACGGGAGGCAGCAGUGGGGAAUAUUGCGCAAUGGGCGAAAGCCUGACGCAGCGACGCCGCGUGAGGGAUGACGGCCUUCGGGUUGUAAACCUCUUUCAGUAGGGACGAAGCGCAAGUGACGGUACCUACAGAAGAAGCACCGGCCAACUACGUGCCAGCAGCCGCGGUAAUACGUAGGGUGCAAGCGUUGUCCGGAAUUAUUGGGCGUAAAGAGCUCGUAGGCGGUCUGUUGCGUCGGCUGUGAAAACUCGGGGCUCAACUCCGAGCUUGCAGUCGAUACGGGCAGGCUAGAGUUCGGCAGGGGAGACUGGAAUUCCUGGUGUAGCGGUGAAAUGCGCAGAUAUCAGGAGGAACACCGGUGGCGAAGGCGGGUCUCUGGGCCGAUACUGACGCUGAGGAGCGAAAGCGUGGGGAGCGAACAGGAUUAGAUACCCUAGUAGUCC